CGUGAGUUUCCUGAUGCCUCAGC
rnacentral:miRNA from 12 species